UACAGAGGGGGCAAGCGUUAUUCGGAAUUAUUGGGCGUAAAGAGCUCGUAGGCGGUUUGGUAAGUUGGAUGUGAAAUCUCCAGGCUCAACUUGGAGGGGUCAUUCGAUACUGCCAUGGCUAGAGUUCGGUAGGGGAGUGUGGAAUUCCUGGUGGAGCGGUGAAAUGCGCAGAUAUCAGGAGGAACACCCGUAGCGAAGGCGGCACUCUGGGCCGGAACUGACGCUGAGGAGCGAAAGCGUGGGGAGCGAACAGG
rnacentral:rRNA from 1 species